GGACUACUGGGGUAUCUAAUCCCGUUUGCUCCCCUGGCCUUCGUGUCUCAGUGUCAGGAACUGUCCAGAGACCCGCCUUCGCCACUGGUCUUCCUCAUGAUCUCUACGCAUUUCACUGCUACACCAUGAAUUCCAGUCUCCUCUCCAGUCCUCAAGCACCGCAGUAUCGAAUGCAGUUUCGGAGUUAAGCUCCGAAAUUUCACACCCGACUUACGGCGCCACCUACACACCCUUUACGCCCAAUGAAUCCGAACAACGCUUGAGACCUCUGUAUUACCGCGGCUGCUGGCAC
rnacentral:rRNA from 1 species